rnacentral:rRNA from 1 species
AUGCAGCCCAAGAUCAGUAGUGCUUUGGAUCCUAAUUCAAGAGAUGCACUUGGCCUAGCUUGGUCCAAGUUUUUUCAUGCCAAUGAUAUUGCUGGACGUAAAGCUGAUUGCCCAUACUUCCGAGUUGCUGUGAAGAUCACUCAACAAUUAGGGCCUGCUCCUAUACCAACCGCGAAGGAGAUUGAUGGGAAAUAUUUGGAGGCUAACUAUGAUGAAGCUACUUCCUUUCUUCAAAAAUUUAAACAAGAUUGGAAAAACUUCGGUGUGACUCUUAUGUGUGACUCUUGGACUGGUCCAACAGGAAUGAGCCUCAUAAACUUCAUGGUAUAUUGUAAUACACGAAUGUUCUUCCUCAAUACCAUUGAUGCAUCCGGUCAGACUCAGAAUUCAGACUUUAUCUAUAGAGAGAUUGAUAAGGUUGUAGAAGAGAUAGGCCAUGAACAUAUUGUUCAAAUAGUAACCGAUAAUGGGUCCAACUAUAAGAAAGCUUGCAAAACCCUUAUAGAAGAACCAAAAUACUCUCAUAUUGUUUGGCAACCGUGUGCUGCCCACACCGUCAAUAUUAUGUUAAAAGAUAUAGCCAAAUUUCCCGAGGUUGAUGUGAUAGUCAAGAGUGCCAAGACAAUCUGUAGGUUCUUGCAUAAGCACAAUAACCUACAUGAUAACAUGAAGAAGAACAUAGGUGGUGAACUAAUUAGACCAAAUGCCACCCGUUUUGGGACUGUCUUCAUGUUCCUUGAGAGUUACCAUUUGAAGAAAGAUAAAUUUAGGGAGUGGAUGGUUUCGACUGAUUGGAAGGAGUGUCAGUGGAGGUAUGAGCCUGGAUAUGUGUUUGCUGAAGAAUGUUUGUCUAGUAAUGUUUGGUGGAACACGCUAGAGUGGGUAUUGGGUUCGUUGAGGCCACUUUAUAAGGCCAUGAGGUAUGCUGAUACACAGAAACAAUGCACUCUUUCUGGAUUCAAGAAAAGUAUGAUGCUCGCUAUACAAGGGAUGGAAGCACAUCUAGGCCCUACAUCAAGGUUGUACCUUAGUUUCAUGUGCAAGGUGGGCAAGAGGAUAGAGGCAAUGGAAGAAGAUACAUUUAUGGUUGCAGCUGCUGUCCUUGAUCCAUAUACACAUUACAAGCUCAACCUUUGCAACCAUACAGAUUAUGCUACCUCACUAACAGAUGCGAUAGCGAAGAUAUUAGAUCCAAAGAGUGCUCUUUCAGCCAUUGAUGAUGUAAGUAAGUUUAGGGAGUGCCAAGGGAGGUUUGGGACCAGAUUAGCAGAAGAAGUUGCGGCGAGAAUGGAGCCAACCCAAUGGUGGUUUCAAUUUGGAGGGGAUGUUCCUGCAUUGCAGAAGUGUGCAAUGAGAAUUUGCUCACAAUGUGUCUCAUCAAGUGGGUGUGAGAGGAAUUGGAGCGCCUUUGCUUUGGUGCACACAAAGCAAAGAAAUCGUCUUUUAUAUGACAAGCUCCACAAGCUAGUUUCUGUAUGCUACAACCUAAAGAUACGUGCUGAAGAAGAUUAA